UCCCUAGUGGUCCAGUGACUAAGACUCUGCACUCUCAAUGUAGGGGACUUAGGUUCGAUCCCUGGUCAGGGAA
rfam:TPA: Bos taurus chromosome 22, whole genome shotgun sequence.